rnacentral:lncRNA from 10 species
CACUUAGUCUAAUAAAGAUCAAAGCCCAGCAUCUGCAAGUGAAAAUUCUCCUUCUAACAUGAUUUCUGGGAUUUUGCAGCUUUCUACUUAAAAACAAGGCACAAUAGCAAGUCACCCCAUCUUCCCCAUAUGUGAAAUGGAGAUGAUGCCAGUGUCCUAGGGCCAUCGUACAAAUCAAGCUAAGAUCAUGUACAGAGAAACAGGUAGCGCUUGAAAAGCACUCAUGGUUUCUCUCUGAUGAGUCAGUGCCUACCUGGCACAGAACAGGUAGUCAAUAACUGUUCGUGGAAGAACAGUUUAAAACAAACAAAAACAUAGUUCAAGUAGAAAAACCUUUGUUAUAAUUUGAAUAAAGAUCUUCUCUGUUAAGGCCUCAAACUUCUGAUGUGAUUAUUGAAGUGCUUUUUACAUGCAUGUGCUCAGGCCAUCACUGUUUCUGAGUAUGGGUCAGAGGCCCUUGGGCCUCUUCACGGUGGGAAGAAUUUACAACCUCCCUUUGUUCUCUGUAGUGACUAGAUUUAAAGCGAAGCAUAUGACACGUUUAACUGCCAUUUCCCUCACACAUACCCCUGUUAUUUUUACCUGCAUUAGAAAUGGAUUGGCUCCUUCCAGCACCCCUAUUAUUUGUACCUGUAUUAGUAAUGAGUUAGCUGUACUUGAGAGGCAGUCUUUACUGACUUUCCCCACAUGCACUAGUCCCAGGCUGUUUAACAAAGAAGCGGGUGGAAGGCAUUACCCAAUUCGAUCGUUUUCCAGGCUUGUGUGAUUUUUUUUUUGAGGACUCAGAUCAAUAAUUUUUCUGGUCAGACUUUCCUGGACUGUGCAUAUUAGCACUUUGACAGUUGAAUAAGCAUUUAAUUUGCAUGUCCACCUAGAAAGUUGCAAGGGGGGUGUUUUUGAAGUAGAAUGUGACAUGUCAGGCCUAUGGUCUACAGCCUGAAGUGUCUGAGAGGGAAGAAAGAGAACCAAAGCUUCUGUUUCUGAAAUAUAAUGUGACAAAUACCACUUUAAUUAAAUUCCAUAAAUUCUCAUCCCACUUUUAAAGGUAGGUGGUAUUACCCCUGUUGUUCAAAUGAAAGUGGUCAGAAAUAUUGAAUCUUGUCACUUCCCUUUGGGUGCAAAAUGAAAGGCCCUACAUCCUUAGAAGUCACAUCAGGAUACAUCAUGUAAGCCUGGUAAACAAAUCCCAAGAGACAUACUUGAAAUAUGGAAAGGAAACAGGUACUUGAAAGAGUAGGGCACCUUACUAGCUUGAGAUGUAUUAUUCUAUGCUCUCAAAAUAGAUAAUGGUUUGGAAGCACGGCUUGGCUUACUGCUAUAUUUAUGUUCAGAGGUUGCUUGUUUUCCACGUACUUUUAAAAACUAUUCUGGAAGGGAAGGGGUUAGUAUAUAUAUGUGGGAUGUGGAAAUAUAAUAGCCAAUUUAAAUGAACUUAAAGCUGUAACAGUGAUACUAUCAGUCUACUGUGGUGGGGUUGCUAAUGCAUUUAACUGAGUGCUUUUUAACAGCCCAGCUGGAGAAACAGGAAGUGGGACAGGAUCAGUGGAAACGCUGCUUGGGUAUUUGAAAUUCAAGCAGUGAGACCUGAGAGACUGGAGUUCCUCGCCAAUUCCAGAACCUCAGUGCAGGGCAUUACUCUUUUAGAUACAAAGAUUGGGUGUAGAAACUCCACAUCUGUCAGCCACGUAACACAGCCCAUCAGAUAAUCAUGUUAAGGCUAACAGCCAGUUCGAAACAUUCUGUAGAACUAUAUCUGUUCAAGGGCUACCAGGUCCUACCUAUCUGUCUCACCUCCUGCUUUCUCUUGCUGGGCGUUUGUGUGCUGUUUGGAGAUUCUAAAUAUUUUACACUGAUGUUUCUUUAUCUUUAACACAUUGCUUCUCUCUUUGUGCUUCAGGGAAGAUGGUGAAAAAAGUCUGUCCUUGCAACCAGCUCUGUAGUAAUUAUCUUUUCUGUUAUUUUUGGUCCUUGAUUGCAAAGCCUGUUAACCAUGAGUUCUUUCAACUCUGCAGUCUCAUAGCUCCCUGAUUCCUAACUUCCAUCUAUCUCUGUAUCCUAUUCUAAUAAAUAUUUAACAUGCUUAAUUGAGAAAUCAUCUCCUAGUCGGUGCCCUCAGUGAUAACCCCAUGUGAGCCUAGCUUGUGACAGACAUGGAUUGGUAAUGGCCAUGGGUAUAUAUAGGGAGGUCAGGGAUGCCUAGUUCCUAUGGGAGAGCGAUCCUUUGGUCAGCAAAUAUGUGCCGGGCAGUGUUAUUACCCCAACUGGAAACUCAGCAGUGACGAAAGCAUACAAAAGUCCAUGCCCUCCCACGUUCACACUGAAGUGGGAGAUGUGUGCUAGAUUGACGAGGAGAAAAACACCACUUUCUAGAGUUUGUCUUCUUAGACUGUGGCUUCUCAUACUUUAAUGAGAAGGCCACUUACAGUGUUGUAGGUAGGGUCAACAGGGAAAUUCUGUACUUGGGAUGUUGGGCUGUAAGUUAUGGUUCAUAAUAGGUUAUUGUUAGUAGGAUCUGGUGAUGUGGGAAUAGGGGAAAUGUAUUAUAAUGGCAGGAGGAAAUUUAAAAAUGAAUCUUGGGGGUAAGUCUAUACUACUUAUUAGGGCUUUUCAGAAGAACUAAAAAAGGUUAAGAAGUUAGCAUAUUCUCUCAAAGGCCUUUCUACAUCUUUUAUAGUCAAGUCUCCUUUUCUUAGGAGUUAAUUUCUGGUCAGAAAAUGAUAGGUUUGUUUCAUUCUUUAAUGGGAGGCCUGUAUACAGAAGCCAGAACGUGAAGGUUUAGCUGUAUGGUUGACUCUUCCUCAUGGUUUCUCUUUCCUCAUAGAGAAUCCUGUAUUAGGUAAUGUAGGGUAAAAUGAAAAGUGAAAUUUCGUUCUAAAGGGGCCUCGCAGCAUCAGGGGCGACAGACUAGAGAGGUGUGUCUCCCAGCAUGAGCUCUGUGGAUAAGCAAUGGUCACGCCUCCUGAGCUUCUUGUAUUUAGCUUUUGACAGCUCUGCUCCCCUGUGAUUAUUUCUGUUUUUUGUUUUGAUUGUCUCUCACAUCAAGCUCACCAAGCAAUAAUUGUUCAAACAGGAUGACAAUCCCCAUGCAUGUGAUAUGCUUGCUUUCUAGAUUGAGUCACUCACUGUCAUGACUGCCCAUCCUCAUUGCCUGUGCUUCCCACUUCACCACUCUCUCACAUUGGCUGUUCAUGGAAGGCUGUUUUCUGUGCUCUCAUGCUUCUCCCCUCGCGUUUCCUGUACUGUAGGGAGCUUACUCUUCCCUUCACACUGUAUGUGCAAUAGCAAUCCCCUUGUGGCUCCAGCAGACACCAAGAAAUGAGCUGACACUCACACUGCAGUAGUUCCGUGUCUUGCCAUAGCGGUAAGAAGCAUGUGACCUUCCUCACUGCAGCUUCACCUCAGAAUUAGCUGUUACUGCAGCACAGACCUGCUUGUGUGUGCCAUUCCCCAGGUGGUAGGAUAUAAGCUUGACUUGAGACCAGCGAUGGUCAGUAACAGGCUUUGAAGUGGCAGGAUUGCGUUAGGUGUGCUGCUGUGAUCUGGUGCUGCUUUGACCUUGAAAGCAGGAUAACGCAUGCACUUACUUACCCCCGCAUUACUUGGGUACCUUAAGGACUAGUGGUUCACAACUUACUUUAGGAGCUUUUAUUUAUUCUGUAACACGUGAGAUCUGGUAAGACAGUGGGGGGUAAGGAAAACAGACAAGACCAUGACUCUUCUUUCCCUCUUCCCCAAAACGUGCCUCUUGGAAUAAUCUUCAGUGUGCCCUCCAGCAGAGCCGAAAUCAGGCAGGCAUAGACUCCCUCCUCUCUCAUCAAACCGCAGAAAUAGAGUUCCUUCAUCAUAACCGCAAAGCUUCCUCCUCCCCUUUGCACCCUGCCUCAGCUGCAUUUUCUUGUCGCUUCUACAUGGGAGUGCUUGCUGUUCUGGGAAGAGUGGGGAGAAGCGGUGGGAAUCCUUGAGCCAAUUGAAACUGAGGUCAUCUUCAGGAAAACCAUGUCUUCCUGAAGUUGAAAGAUUCAGGCACACCAUACAGUCCUUUCCUCAUGAAUAAUCUUGUUCUUUACUCAUGGGAAAUUGGGAGAGGUUAACCCCUCCCAAGUUUAUGUUUGCAAAUUCAUGUUUAUGGGUCCAGGUGAAAAACUUUUCUGAACACAGCAUGCUACUUCUCUUAUUACCUCUCUCUAUUUAAAGAAUGGCUAGGCUGAGCAUGGUGGCUCACACCUGUAAUCCCAGCACUUUGGGAGGCUGACAUGGCAGGAUUGCCUGAGCCCAGCAGUUCAUGACUAAGCAACAUAUGGAGAUUCUGUCUAUAUAAAAAAGUAAAAAAUUAACUGGGUGUGGAAGUGCAUACGUCUAGUCCCAAGCUACUUGGGAGGCUGAGGCAGGAGGAGUUGGAGGCUGCAGUGAGACGUGAUUGUGCCGCUGUAUCCAGCCUGGGUGACAGAAAAAGAAGAGACCCUUCCUUU